AUGAAGAACGUAGCGAAAUGCGAUAAGUAAUGUGAAUUGCAGAAUUCAGUGAAUCAUCGAAUCUUUGAACGCACAUUGCGCCCCUUGGUAUUCCGAGGGGCAUGCCUGUUCGAGCGUCAUUACACCACUCAAGCACUGCUUGGUAUUGGGCAUCGUCCGUCGAAAGGCGGGCGUGCCUCGAAGACCUCGGCGGGGUUUCUCCAACUUCGGGCGUAGUAGAGUUAAAUCGAACGUCUUAUAAGCUUGGUGGGACUCCAUUGCCGUUAAACCUUUUAUUUUCUAGGUUGACCUCGGAUCAGGUAGGGAUACCCGCUGAACUUAAGCAUAUCAAUAAGCGGAGGA
rnacentral:misc_RNA from 1 species